rnacentral:lncRNA from 1 species
CCACUUUCUGGCCUGUCCUUCAUUUUCCUCAUCUUUCUCUUUCUCCCCAGUAUCGGGACCCUUCCCCCUGAGCAGGGAGUGGGUCUCUUCCCUGCCUUCUCCCUUUGUGCCCCCAAAUGCAGGCCCUCUUCCCCCUCCUUCAUCUCCUGCCCGGUCCCCAUGACCACCAUGUUUCUCCUUGAGGACCUCUCCUUGGCUACUGCGCACCUCCUCCAACCUUUGACGUUUGAUUUUUAUUCAAAAGCAGCCCCAACAUCUCCUCCUACACCUAAAGCACUGAUUUGUUCCAGAAUCCAAUUCAGUCUGUGACCCACAGAGUCCAUCUCCCAACAAACACAGAAGGUUUCCCAGCCCCCUGCCCCAGGGAAAACUGGAUGUUUUUUAUCACUUUCUUCAGCGCUGCAGCCUGGUGCCAUUGAUGCGGUAUCCAACCAGAGACAUGGGAAGAUGCCCCAGCUUCGCCUUAAUGAAUCCUCACUGCGCACCAAUGCUCUGUGGCCCAAAGAUCUGCCCUCAACCCAGGCAGGAGUGUUUCCCCCUAAAUAGCUGUAGCUCUCACUGGCAACAUCACCAACCCAUACGCACUCAGUCAUUCUCCAGAUUCCUGCCGCUGAGCCCUCCCACUGCCAAUAAGCUCUGCAGAAGUCCUUUGUCACUCCCACCCCCAUAGCCCAAUGUCUAAAGCACCAAAAACACAAACUGUUAAGAGCCCCUUUUGUACCAAAUUAAACAUAUAUAUUGUGUUUUGGAUUACAGUCAAAAGGAGUUGGAAUUUGUUGCUGAUCAGCAAGAGAGUUUCUUACCUGGUAAGCACUGCUCCUCCAUAUGAGACAACUGUACUACUCCCACCAGGACAAAGCACCCUGGUGUUCUGUGGAUGUAGACAGGAUGAGUCCCAUUCCCCAAGACUGGUCUCC